rnacentral:piRNA from 1 species
UGCCACAAUUAUUGGGACUUACUUCAUGCC